AUUCUGGUAGCUUAAUUUAUAGAGCAUUAUAUUGAAGAUAUAAGUGAGAGAUUACUCUCAGAAUA
rnacentral:tRNA from 1 species